AUGUCCAAACUGAAAAGAAAGAGAGUGAGUGUAGCGGAGGAGAGCAAACCUGAGGGAAAGCCAGAGAUACGAAAUAUUUUUCAGUCUCUGCGCAAUCCUGGCGGCACGUCCUCCAGCAAGAGCUGCUCCAGUGCUGGACAUAGAGGUGAUGGAGGUGAGCCAUGGUGGGCUGCAACUGAACUAACAGCAGAGGAGAAGAUCUGGAUGACCCUGCAGGGCUUCUGUCCUGAAGCGUUCAGCUCUCCUGCAUCAGUGUAUUGUGUUCCAGAGCUGCCGCAGUUGCCUGAGAAAGCAGAGGAAGAGAAGCAGAGCGAGUGGCGCUGGUGUCGUCUGGAUGAAGAGGUCCCUGAACUUCCAGUUCUAAAAGACCUGCAAAGCUGCGCCCCAAACCACUGCACAAAGCCCUGCGUUCCUAAUAGCGGGAGCCUUCAGACUCCAUCUUCUCCAGUCAAGCAGCUCAGCCAAACAAGGCAUGAACCAAUAGCAACCACUUCUCAGCGCCCCCUGGAGGACAAUCCAAAGAGCAGUGAAACAAGAGAGGGUUAUCAGGCAACCAGUUCUCAGCACCCCCUAAAGGACGAUUCGAAAGGCAGCAGAACAAGACACGAUGAGGAAGUGUCCAUUUCUCAGCACCCUGUUAAGGACAAUUCAAAAGGCAGUGAAACAAGACACGAUCAGGAAGUGUCCAUUUCUCAGCGCCCUCUAAAGAACAAUUCAAAAGGCAGCGAAACAAGACACAAACAGCAAAUCUCCAGUUCACAGCACCCCCUGAAAGACAACUUAAAAAGCAAAGACACAAGAUGUGUAAAGCAAGCCUCCAAUUCCCUAAGCCCAGCAGAGGACCAUCAAAAGAGCUGUCCAACUCCAAAGAAAUUCAGCGAGAAGCCCGACCCGUUUAGAGAAGGUGAGAGUCAGCAACAUGGAAGCAUGUUGAUAAAGAAAUCUCAGAAAUCUGAAGGUGGGAAGUCAAAAAGCAAGGUCAAACUUACUCAAGGUGAUACCAAGAUACAGACAACUGAUCACCACACCAGCAAAGCAGAUAUUAGAAAGGUGACGCACCUGCAAGCGGAGAAAAUGCUGGGAAAAGAAUUUGAGGGAAAAUCUGGAACCGGACUCCAGUGUGAAAGUAAAUCCAGAUCAUUAGUGUCUAAAUUGGGUUCUGCAAGUGGAGCUGGAUCAGGAUCAGGAUCUGGAUCCAGAGAUUCUAGUCUGGAGAUAAAUGCUGACGGUAGGCCCGGAACAUCCAGUGGAGGAUGCGUUGCAGGACCAGCAGAACCUAAACUGGAGUGUUGUCCGAUGUGCCUCAUGCCGUUUCCUGCAGGGUUCUCUCAGAUGGACUGUGAUGGUCACCUGGCUCAGUGUUUGUCAGAGAUGAACAUGGACAUGGUUUGGUGAUUGAGUGACUGAUGUUUUGGAGAAGAGGAAACACAGAGCAGUGGAGCUCACAAUGAUACUGCAGUCUGGACCAGCAGAUUGUCUGUGUGAUGUGGUAACAUCCUCCAUUCUUCUGGGAAGUCUUUAUACUAGAUGUUGGAACAUUUGCUAUGAGGAGGAUUUGAUUGCAUUCAGACUAAGAGUGCAAGCAUCAGUGAGGUCAGGCAUGGUUGUUGGAUGAUUAGAUCUGACACACCAGCUUUUUUCCAAGGUACUGGAUGGCACUCCGUCAGUAAAAGGAAAAAGAAGA
rnacentral:lncRNA from 1 species